CAGAUCCGGUGUAACUGGCGACGAGUGUGGGUUCAACCACGAUGGAGCACCGGAGUAAUCGGCCGGUCGCCUGGGCAAAGAGC
rnacentral:ncRNA from 2 species